rnacentral:pre_miRNA from 1 species
CGUGUGAUAUUCAGGGCUAGCCUUUAUUCUCAGUCAAGAUUAGCUUGGGUGUCACAUGUG